rnacentral:rRNA from 1 species
GACGAACGCUGGCGGCGUGCCUAAUACAUGCAAGUCGAGCGCAGGAAAUCGACGGAACCCUUCGGGGGGAAGUCGAUGGAAUGAGCGGCGGACGGGUGAGUAACACGUAAAGAACCUGCCCUCAGGUCUGGGAUAACCACGAGAAAUCGGGGCUAAUACCGGAUGGGUCAUCGGACCGCAUGGUCCGAGGAUGAAAGGCGCUUCGGCGUCGCCUGGGGAUGGCUUUGCGGUGCAUUAGCUAGUUGGUGGGGUAAUGGCCCACCAAGGCGACGAUGCAUAGCCGACCUGAGAGGGUGAUCGGCCACACUGGGACUGAGACCCGGCCCAGACUCCUACGGGAGGCAGCAGUAGGGAAUCUUCCACAAUGGACGAAAGUCUGAUGGAGCAACGCCGCGUGAACGAUGAAGGCCUUCGGGUCGUAAAGUUCUGUUGUAAGGGAAGAACAAGUGCCGCAGGCAAUGGCGGCACCUUGACGGUACCUUGCGAGAAAGCCACGGCUAACUACGUGCCAGCCGCCGCGGUAA